CCUACGGGAGGCAGCAGUGGGGAAUAUUGCACAAUGGGCGCAAGCCUGAUGCAGCGACGCCGCGUGAGCGAUGAAGGCCUUCGGGUCGUAAAGCUCUGUCCUAAGGGAAGAAUAAUGACGGUACCUUAGGAGGAAGCCCCGGCUAACUACGUGCCAGCAGCCGCGGUAAUACGUAGGGGGCGAGCGUUAUCCGGAAUCACUGGGCGUAAAGGGUGCGUAGGCGGCCCUGCAAGUCAGGAGUUAAAUCCCUCGGCUCAACCGAGGUCAGCUUUUGAAACUGUAGGGCUUGAGUGCAGGAGAGGAGGGGGGAAUUCCUGGGGGAGCGGGGAAAUGCGUAGAUAUUAGGAGGAACCCCAGGGGCGAAGGCGGGUAUCUGGACUGAAACUGACGCUGAGGCACGAAAGCGUGGGGAGCGAACAGGAUUAGAUACCCCUGGAGUC
rnacentral:rRNA from 1 species